UACGUAGGGGGCAAGCGCUGUCCGGAAUCAUUGGGCGUAAAGCGCGCGUAGGCGGCCCUGUAAGUCCGUUGUGAAAGUCCAGGGCUCAACCCUGGGAUGCCGGUCGAUACUGCCGGACUAGAGUUCGGAGAGGCGAGUGGAAUUCCCGGUGUAGCGGUGAAAUGUGCAGAUAUCGGGAGGAACACCUAUGGCGAAGGCAGCUCGCUGGGACGUUACUGACGCUGAGACGCGAAGCGUGGGUAGCAACAGG
rnacentral:rRNA from 1 species